UGCCGGCCGCCGGCCGCCGAUGGCGUAGAUGCGAGUGCCAGCGAUGCAGCGAUGCCACUGCUGGUUGGGGUGAAGACGCCGAGGGCGUUGGCGAGGCCGCCGAUGGUGGGGAUGCGGCUCCGGCGAGAAUGUCGCCGAUGUUGUUGGUGGUGCGACCGUAAGGCGAGGCACCCAUGAUUGCAAAGAAACAGCGUCUUCUUUGCGAGAAUCUUUUCCUCGUGGUUCUGGCGAGAUGUCGAAUUGCUUCAUCUUAGCGAGUUCUGUUUGCAUUGCCCAAAGAUGAACUCGUCAAGUUCUUCCCGGCGAGUGUGCUUUCUUCUUUCUGGAACUUGGCGAGUUCUGUUCUGGUGUUCUUGCCAUGGUAGUUCUCGUCGAGUUGUCGCCGAGUCUCUGGUUCCUCAUCGAGUUCUCUUGUCUCGGCGAUUGGACGAUCGCUCAAUGGAGAGCAAAGUGCAUGAUAACGUGUUAGAAAUGAGAGUGAAUGGAAUGAUUGAUUGUCUCGUUGAUUGAUAGAGAUUACUGUUUA